rnacentral:lncRNA from 1 species
UGAUCAAGUUGGCUAUUAAAAUAUUCGAUUGAGGUAGAAAACAUAGAAAAGGAAAAUAAACAUACAAGAGGCUCGAGGUCGUCCCCAUCUAAUGGAAGAAAAAUAAAAAAAGUUAAAAAUAAAAAUAAAAAUACUAAGAGUUCUACUUUACGUCUCCAAUUACAAAUACUUCGGGGCAUACCCCUAAUAAUAAUAUAUACAAACUUCACGGGUCAUUCCCCGGAUAAAUUUAACUAAGGGACAACCUCUCACCUCGAAAGAAGCUAAAACAAGAACAUCCUAAAGGUUUACCUACCAAAAUGUGGUCGGCCUAAACAUGCUCCUAGCGGACAAGAUAAUGAAGUAAAAAAAAUAAAACUAAAAGAAAUCAAAUUUAAUCAUGCUCAUCUGUUUUGACCAUUUACCCCUUUAUAUAUUGAGUCCGCGCCUAACCCUAAAGCAUGCAUGUGAAACAAAUACUAAUAGGCUCGGUCUUUCCUUCCUAAUCCCAUGGCAAAACAAUCAUUCAAGAAGGUAUUGAACUCACUCAGGAGAAACAAGCAUCUAGAAAAGAAAAGAUAUAAGCUAGGAAAGACACGCAUAAUAGUUAAAACAAAUGAUGGAUCCAAAUAUGAUAAGAGCCUCCUAAAAUCCCCCCUUAAACCACGUCAAUUUCCAAGAGCUAGUGAUUGGCAGAACUCAUGUGUAAAUUUGCUUAAUCUCUAGUGAUGUUAUUCAAAUCCACAAACUGCUUUGGAUAUAUUUAAGUCAAUGAUGAAGAACAAUGAGCAUGAAGAUGUAAUUGUGAUUCACAAGUACGCCCAAAACAGUAAGAAACAAGGCAUAAACAUACUAGCAAAUCAACACGCCAAGCAUUAACUCACUAGUUAUUUUCAACAUGAAAGGAAAACGAUCUUAGCUUAGCUCACUCACAAUGAAGCUCCAACAGAUUUAGUAUUAGAACAAUGCUUCAAGCACUCAAGGGGUCCACACAUACCAACAUGUAAAGGAAGACUAAGCAAACUGAUUCUCAUAAACCUCGGUCAAAUUGGUUCAUAUUAACAUUCAUCUGAGAGCUAAGUAAAUUAUCAAUUUCCCAAUCCCAUUUAGCUAUGGCUCAAAUUUGGAUCCAACUCAGAACAGUAAAGAAAAAGAGAAGAAGCGAACCUGAAAUUUGAGAUUUCGAUUAUCACUUGAUGUUCAAAUGUGAUACAAGCAAAAAUUGGACGAUGAACUUAAUAGGGACUGAAUGAAACAGCGACAAUCGAAUCCGGAACCACGAUCUUAAACCACGAAUGGCAGCAGAAAUUUUCAAGCCCGAUCGUACCUCAGUCGAACUCCAUAUUGAAAUCAAAAAUGGAACAGAAAGAAGCGACUGAAAUAUAUAUAUCCUGUUUGGGAUUCUGAUCUCUUCCGAAAUGAAAACAAAAACUCGAACAAAAAUACAACUCAAACCAUUUUUGUAUUUUUAUUUUUUUGGAAUGCCAAUCAAACACCAAAAAUUAAAAAGAACUCAAAGAACCCUAGACCUUUUCGAAUUUUUCUCUCCAAAUUUCUCGAAAUUUCUCCUAUUUUCUGUCCGAAAAAAUUAGUCUCCCCCCCUCAAAACCAAAAACCCAAAAUCUUCUGAUUUCUCGCUUUAUAGUUCGAAAUCGAACAAAUGGAGGGUUUAGAUUGAUCUUCAAUCAAUCUACGGCUCCCAUUAAUUCGAUUCGAACUUGGAGAGCA